rnacentral:rRNA from 1 species
GGAUGAACGCUGGCGGCGUGCCUAAUCCAUGCAAGUCGAGCGAACGGACGAGAAGCUUGCUUUUCUGAUGUUAGCGGCGGACGGGUGAGUAACACGUGGAUAACCUACCUAUAAGACUGGGAUAACUUCGGGAAACCGGAGCUAAUACCGGAUAAUAUUUUGAACCGCAUGGUUCAAAAGUGAAAGACGGUCUUGCUGUCACUUAUAGAUGGAUCCGCGCUGCAUUAGCUAGUUGGUAAGGUAACGGCUUACCAAGGCAACGAUGCAUAGCCGACCUGAGAGGGUGAUCGGCCACACUGGAACUGAGACACGGUCCAGACUCCUACGGGAGGCAGCAGUAGGGAAUCUUCCGCAAUGGGCGAAAGCCUGACGGAGCAACGCCGCGUGAGUGAUGAAGGUCUUCGGAUCGUAAAACUCUGUUAUUAGGGAAGAACAUAUGUGUAAGUAACUGUGCACAUCUUGACGGUACCUAAUCAGAAAGCCACGGCUAACUACGU